AAAAAACGACUCUCGGCAACGGAUAUCUCGGCUCUCGCAUCGAUGAAG
rnacentral:rRNA from 1 species